rfam:Actinobaculum massiliae ACS-171-V-Col2 genomic scaffold supercont1.1, whole genome shotgun sequence.
GGGGAUGAUCGGUUUCGACGACGAUGGGUAGUUGAAGAGAAGCGGGUCGAGGACGCAGAGUCCGCUCGAUAACGAUCUCUGCAAACCAAUAGGUGCCAAGAACAAGAGCACCGAUUUCGCCCUCGCUGCCUAAUUAACCAGCGAGCUUCGAAAUCUGUCGGCCCUAGCGUUGCUUUCCGCUAGGGACUCGGCAUCGUUAAGAAAGCCACUGGUUGUUACGCCCGCUACAGGCGUAACUGCGACAUUUUUGUAGAUAAGUUCGUCAGGGCCUAGUUCGCGUGGAUCCCUGGAGCUGAGAAUAACUAUGAGCGAACUGCACCCGGAGAAGUCUUCUUUAUACAUCGCCGGACCGGGGUUCGAUUCCCCGCAUCUCCACUU